UGGUAACAGUGGUACAAGCAGUAUUAGGUAUAACCUAUUUGUAUAAUAAUAUACAUAAUAUAUUAUUAUAUACCUACCUACGGUAAUUAUAAACUUUGUAGCCAACGCAAAUGCAUUCUGCUUGAUUUAUGAGCAAAAGUUUUGUGACAAGUCUUGGGAUUUGAACGCACUGCCCUCUUAUCUGUUUUGUUAUUUUUCAUUGUUCUACAGUAAUAACAUGUCGUCCGAUAUCCAAUAGGUAUCUGUUAUACUCUAUGAUGAUGUAUAUUUAUGAAGGGCGAGCAUUAUUGGCACACGAAGGUUAUUAGCAUCGACUUAGUACCUACGACCUUCCACCAGCUUCGUCCGCGGUGACCAAUUGACGUUUGCCAAACCGAUUCAUUACAUUAGUAGAAUUGAUUAUACUGAACAAACUCUAAAUUGGAUCCGUCCUCGUCCACCACCACCACCGCCUUCACCCCCGACCCGAUAACAGCGGCUCGACCAGGAACACACUGUGGUUUCAACACAUAGUCAGUGGCACCGAUGCACAAACUACCAUCAUGAGUGAUGCUAUAACCGUCUGGAUUGCAACCGCCACGGAAAAUACUAUCCGAGAUAAUUUAAUAUAAGUUUUAUUAGUUAUUUAUAGUUUAAUACAUUUAAUAUAAUAUACGAUAUAUUAUGUACACGCACACUAACGCACCUCUAUAGAACAAGACUGUCACAAUUUUUUUGUUUUGAGAAAAAGUGAUUUUAGAUAAGAUAUUUGAAAAGGUUUUUUUACCAAUGCGUUUGAAACCAAAAACUUAAAUACUUGCAGAGAUACUUUACAAUAAUAUGACUUUUUAAAAUAUCAUGAAAUACUCUCUUAAUCCCAAACAGUUGGACUCAUGGCUUUUUAAAUUUUUUUUUAAAAGUGCAAUACUGCCAUAUUCUGAUUUCUGAUGUGUGGCUUUAUUGCAUGCAGAAAUUGAUUUUAAGACCGCCAUACUAUACUAAAAUAUAACAGUAUUACAUUUCAUAUUGUGACCACUGUAUAACAAAUUAUAAAAUGCAACACCGCCACAAAUCUAAAUAUUUCUGUUUUGCACUCGAUCUAGAUAUAUAGCUAUAUCACAUGAUAACUAGAUUUGAUUUAGUGCAAGAACACCACAAAUCGAAAUUAGGUUUGAAUUUCGGUCAUGAAUUUCUACUUAGGUGAUCGAUCGGAUAAAUUACAACAAGUGUAGUGUCAUAAAGUAAAUAAUACUUCUUUCUUGCUUUGUAAAUUAGAUACACAUUUAAUAAUUCAAUACCGACUCAUCAUUUUUGUGGCGAAAUAAAAAAAUAUAUCGAAUGUCCAUGGGUUUUGUAGAACUAUUUAUUCACACCCCUGUAAACUUGGCAGCUGAUUCAACUGAGUUUUUUUUAUCCUUUUUAGGUUUUUUAGAUUUUAAUUUUUUUCUACUAGGGUUUUUUUAAUUUAACUUACAUUUUUUUUUGUUUGUUUAAAUUAGUUUUCCAUUAUUUUUAGUAACAAAUGUUGUACGUUUUCCAACAAUGUCCAACGAUCCACCAACAAAUUUGUUGGAUUGAUUAGAUCGGUGUCUGCUAAUGUUGCGCUGCCAAGUUCACAGGGUUUUUAAUCCACUAUCCUAAAGCAGCCAUAACUCAGAGUUAACGAAUUUUGAGUAGUGUCUGUCUCGUUCUAGAGGUGCGAUUUUAUUAAUAUUAUAGGCUAGUGCCACUUCCAUUUUACCAUAGUGUCUGUAUCACUCUCGGCACCAAUGCUCAACUACUAUGCUGUUUCACCGUAUUGUAGUUUAUAGACGGACACGUGUUGGAAGUCACCCAACGAAUCAGUAUUAAUUAUUUUGUUCGUAUAAUUGAAUUUAUGGACCGACAUACUUUGACAGCGCAUAAUUUAAUCGCAAAAACUAUACAUUUCUUGGUAUUAUAAUGCAUAUACAGUAUUGUUUCGUAGUAUCCUACGCAUUAUAAUAUGCAUGGCCAAGUGUUACCCUGACCCUGCUUCUAUGGAAAGGACCUAUGCAAUUUGUUGGGAUUAAUUCUUGCAUAUUAAUAUAUUGUCUAGGUAAAAUAUUAUAAUACAUAAUCGUCUAAACGCUCUAAACUACGAGAAUGAUUAUGAAAUAUAAGGAACUCCAUACUCGAUCAUUUUUAGAGAAAAUCUGUUCCAGAUGAAUAUUAUUAAACCAGAAAAUAUAUUGUUUACCGUUCAAAUAGAGAAAAAAACAUUAAAAAAUUUCAAUUAUUUACAGAGAUAAUAUAAUUUCUUUUUAAAAAAAUUUGCAUUAUUAUUAUUAAAAUUAAAAUUUCUAUCGGUUAAGUUUCGAACUCCCGGAAAUGGGAUACUAGAAAUUCCGAGGGAAUUUCGUGAACGAGAUAGUCCAUGGGAAUGCAAAAACAUUAAACGUGUAUUUUACAAAGAAUUUUUUUGUUUUAUAUCAGGUAAAGUAACUAUAUGAACAUUACUCGGUGCCGAACGGCAUCUAUCCAUUGUUUGCUUAUUCCCAAAUAGCUCCCAUCGAAAAUGGUUCCACCCAAAUUUACCCAAUGUAUGAAUUUUAUAUCUACAUUUUUUUUUAACGAACGAUUUUUUUAAA